UCGAGCGGACAGAAGGGAGCUUGYWCCCGGAUGUUAGCGGCGGACGGGUGAGAAACACGRKGGGUAACCUGCCUGUAAGACUGGGAUAACUCCGSGAAACCGGAGCUAAUACCGGAUAGUUCCUUGAACCGCAUGGUUCAAGGAUGAAAGACGGUUUCGGCUGUCACUUACAGAUGGACCCGCGGCGCAUUAGCUAGUUGGUGGGGUAAUGGCUCACCAAGGCGACGAUGCGUAGCCGACCUGAGAGGGUGAUCGGCCACACUGGGACUGAGACACGGCCCAGACUCCUACGGGAGGCAGCAGUAGGGAAUCUUCCGCAAUGGACGAAAGUCUGACGGAGCAACGCCGCGUGAGUGAUGAAGGUUUUCGGAUCGUAAAGCUCUGUUGUUAGGGAAGAACAAGUGCGAGAGUAACUGYUCGCACCUUGACGGUACCUAACCAGAAAGCCACGGCUAACUACGUGCCAGCAGCCGCGGUAAUACGUAGGUGGCAAGCGUUGUCCGGAAUUAUUGGGCGUAAAGGGCUCGCAGGCGGUUUCUUAAGUCUGAUGUGAAAGCCCCCGGCUCAACCGGGGAGGGUCAUUGGAAACUGGGAAACUUGAGUGCAGAAGAGGAGAGUGGAAUUCCACGUGUAGCGGUGAAAUGCGUAGAGAUGUGGAGGAACACCAGUGGCGAAGGCGACUCUCUGGUCUGUAACUGACGCUGAGGAGCGAAAGCGUGG
rnacentral:rRNA from 1 species